rnacentral:ncRNA from 1 species
UUAAAUCACUGGGGGCGCUUCAAAGAGGCUGAGACGGAAAACCGGACCCCUAUCACCCGAUCUGGAUAACACCAGCGUGGGAAAGUGCAGCAAAGACAAU